rnacentral:rRNA from 1 species
AGGUGACCUGCGGAGGGAUCAUUAGCGAAGCUCGGAAUGCGCGUUCGGUCUGAUGCUGCCCAGCGAUGGGAUGUGCUCGUCCGGAUGCGUGUCCCUUCUCUAUUCCACCCCUUUGUGAACCAAGUGUGCGAGCCGAAGAGAGAUCGGAGGCUCGCAUGCAACCCUUAACAUACCCCAAUGAAGUAUCAGAAUGUACCUUGCGUUAACUCGCACAAAUACAACUUUCAACAACGGAUCUCUUGGCUCUCGCAUCGAUGAAGAACGCAGCGAAAUGCGAUAAGUAAUGUGAAUUGCAGAAUUCAGUGAAUCAUCGAAUCUUUGAACGCACCUUGCGCCCCUUGGCAUUCCGAGGGGCACGCCUGUUUGAGUGUCGUGAACUCCUCCACCCUCCACCUUUUUCGGAAGGCGUUGGGCUGGGAUUUGGGAGCUUGCGGGUCCCUGGCCGAUCCGCUCUCCUUGAAUACAUUAGCGAAGCCCUUGCGGCCUUGGUGUGAUAGUCAUCUACGCCUCGGUUUAGCGAACAUACGGGAAUCGCUUCCAACCGUCUCGCAAGAGACAAUCACUUCAAACUUGACCUCAAUCAGCGGGACUACUCGCUGAACUUAAGCAUAUCAUAAGCGGAGGAAAGAAACUAACAAGGAUUCUCCUAGUAACUGCGAGUGAAGCGGGAUGAGCUCAAAUUUAAAUCUG